UACGUAGGUGGCGAGCGUUGUCCGGAUUUACUGGGCGUAAAGGGAGCGUAGGCGGAUUUUUAAGUGAGAUGCGAAAUACUCGGGCUCAACUUGAGUGCUGCAUUUCGAACUGGAAGUCUAGAGUGCAGGAGAGGAGAAUGGAAUUCCUAGUGUAGCGGUGAAAUGCGUAGAGAUUAGGAAGAACACCAGUGGCGAAGGCGAUUCUCUGGACUGUAACUGACGCUGAGGCUCGAAAGCGUGGGGAGCAAACAGG
rnacentral:rRNA from 1 species